GCUCCUGUGCGCAUGCGUGGUAGAGGUCAGUAAGACGGGGGUGGUCCGUUGUUAUGCCCAGGGGCAUAUGCUCCUGACAGUGGCAGCUCAUGACCCCAGGAAGCCAUCGCUCCCCAGAAGAAGGACCUGAAUUUGGAGACUCAGGACUGCUGUUGACCGCCGUCUCACCUCAGACAGCACCGCAGACAGCCGGCUCAGCUCACAGUGAAAUGUUGCAGUAUCUAUCUGUCUCCUGAGGUCCUCACCCAGCUGGCAGAGCAGGAAGCUCAGGAUGGACCACAGCCUUUACAAUGAACCAAAGCCACACAGGAGGCUGAGAUGAGAAUCUAGCCCCGAGCCCAGGACAGAAGUUCACAUGCACAUCGGAGAGGAGGAAGGCAAAUGUCCUGGAACUCUGAGGAGAACACACAGCUGCCAUUGGCUUCCUGAAAAUCUCACAGCUGCUAGAUGCCCAUCACUGGCCACACACGCAUCACAACCAGAAGGUCCUUGGCCUCCGUCUCCACCCCUCCUUGGCCCUGCCGUUGGGUUGCCAGUGUCCUGGGCCUGAACGCAACCAGGGAGCCUCCCCAACCGAAUACCUGUCAAAGAGACGGUGCUCGUCAAGAACAGUCUUGUGAUGGCUUAAAUACAGUCUGUGUGGACGUGUGACA